rnacentral:miRNA from 1 species
UGCGGUAUACUGAUGAGUCC